AAAUCAUAGCUAAAUACAAUCAAACACAUUCAUACCUUCAAAUUUCUUAGUUCAAGCUUCAAGAUUGCUCAUCCUGAAGAACGUUGCAUAAGACUCCGGCGACAAAGAUUAAUUUAAAGAUUUCAUGGAAACUCAACGUAUGAUUAUGGAAGACCCUAAUCAACAUACUCCAACAACACAUAUACUAGAAGGUUAAUUAAGCUUGUAAGAAGGGAUUUCCAAGAUAUGAAAAGAUGUUGCUAGAAGAGAGGAAGAAGUGAAAUAUGUAUAAAGUUUUA